rnacentral:rRNA from 1 species
GAUGAACGCUGGCGGCGUGCCUAACACAUGCAAGUCGAGCGAGGGUUUGCUCAGUAUUGAGUAUUCUAAAACUAGAAUGUUCAAUUCUGAGCAAAACCAAGCGGCGGACGGGUGAGUAACGCGUGGGUAACCUGCCCUAUACACAUGGAUAACAUACUGAAAAGUUUACUAAUACAUGAUAAUAUAUAUUUGCGGCAUCGCAGAUAUAUCAAAGUGUUAGCGGUAUAGGAUGGACCCGCGUCUGAUUAGCUAGUUGGUGAGAUAACUGCCCACCAAGGCGACGAUCAGUAGCCGACCUGAGAGGGUGAUCGGCCACAUUGGAACUGAGACACGGUCCAAACUCCUACGGGAGGCAGCAGUGGGGAAUAUUGCACAAUGGGCGAAAGCCUGAUGCAGCAACGCCGCGUGAACGAUGAAGGUCUUCGGAUCGUAAAGUUCUGUUGCAGGGGAAGAUAAUGACGGUACCCUGGAGAAGCCC